CCAAAAUCAGAAAUUUUAUCCAAAAUUGCGGAAAACACGAAGCUCAUUCGGGAAGAAGGAAAGGAAGACAAACAUAUCGCCAAGGGUCGCGGGCCGUUUGGCCAGUU
rnacentral:SRP_RNA from 1 species